CCUACGGGAGGCAGCAGUGAGGAAUAUUGGUCAAUGGGCGAGAGCCUGAACCAGCCAAGUCGCGUGAGGGAGUACUGCCCUAUGGGUUGUAAACCUCUUUUGUCGGGGAGCAAAAGCCGGACGUGUCCGGCUGUGAGAGUACCCGAAGAAAAAGCAUCGGCUAACUCCGUGCCAGCAGCCGCGGUAAUACGGAGGAUGCGAGCGUUAUCCGGAUUUAUUGGGUUUAAAGGGUGCGCAGGCGGAUUUUUAAGUCAGCGGUCAAAUCGUGGGGCUCAACCCCAUCCAGCCGUUGAAACGGGGGAUGUAGAGUGGGCGGGAGGGAUGAGGAAGGCGUGGUGGCGCGGUGAAAGGCAUAGA
rnacentral:rRNA from 1 species